rnacentral:rRNA from 1 species
UACGUAGGCAGCGAGCGUUGUUCGGAGUUACUGGGCGUAAAGCGUGCGUAGGCGGUUGUCUAAGUUUGGUGUGAAAUCUCCUGGCUUAACUGGGAGGGUGCGCCGAAAACUGGGUGACUGGAGUGUCGGAGAGGUAAGCGGAAUUCCUGGUGUAGCGGUGAAAUGCGUAGAGAUCAGGAGGAACACCUGUGGUGUAGACAGCUUACUGGACGAUAACUGACGCUGAGGUGCGAAAGCGUGGGGAGCAAACAGG